ACUAAACACAUUUCCAUUUUCAAAUGCAAUCAAGGCUUCCUAUAUACGAGCAGAAAGGCGGCUUCUUCCGCCGAGAGAGCUAGCGGUCCUUACCUGCGGCGUACGGACUGCUCUGGUGGUCCCUGAGGGUGCCCAGGCUGCAGGAUCCCGGCGUGAGGGACGGGCAGCCGGACGUGGCCCCAAAAGUGGUCCUUAUCGGGUUAUACUGGAAGCCACUGGCCUGGCUGCAGGAACUGAAGUCUGCGUAAGCUGAAGCCAGGCUGGAGGUGUCCAUCCCGGCCAUACAGGACUCGUAGGCAGAGGAAUUGAGAACCCCCCAAGUCCACAUGUGACUGGAGCAGAAUUACAAACAGCAGGGAGAGAGUUUCAAGCUGUGCUGGAAUCUCAGACAUAGCCCAUUGCCAAGGACCUCAAGAAGUCAUUGAAUCCAUCCCUCUGCCUCCAGGCCUGCUCGCUCCUCCAAUCAAUUCUUGAUAAAGGAAUUUCCUGAAGGUAAAGAAAGUUCAGAUAUAAUCAACUGGAACCUUGGGGCCCGUAGUCCCAGAAACGCACAGGCUCUUCUUAGGAGUAUAGACUCGGGCCUGAGUCCCAGCACCAGAUUCUGCAAUGUAAUAGUCACCCACCCCUCUGUGAUCUUUUAAAACAUUUCAGUUAAAAAAAGCACUGCCCUCGAGGUCAAACCGUGUAGAGUAAAUGACGCUGUGUGCAAAGGCUUAGUUCCAGACUCAUAGUAAUGCACAAAAUGACUCUGGUCUCCUAAGAAUACAGAAAAGAGGUUUACAAAAGUUAAGUUGUUGUUAUUUUAUUCUUCUCCACACUUCCCAAGUGCAGGACUUACAAACAUCCCAAGACAAUGUUGAUAAAGACAUGUCUGGCAGAGCCUGAGGAAAGCGAACACAAAUGAAUACAAUGACUAUGGAGUGCCCAGGGAAGUGAAUAAGUAGCAGCCUGUGGCACUGAGCUCCCCAUUCUCCCAGUGCCAAGCUGGGUCCGUCUGCUCUUGGAUAAUUUCAGAGCCAGCUGACCAACCAGUGAAGCCUGUGACCGCUUUCAGAAGGCCUCCCUGGGGUGUGAAUCUCUCAAGGUCACUUCAUACCACCACACUCAAAAGCUCACAGUCACCAAUCUGGCCAUGUUGACCGGCAGAAGGGCUUGUCAGAGCUGGAUGCUGGGGAGAUGGCUCAGCUUCGUGAUGGUUGCUUUGGCAGAGGACCCGGGUUCCAUUGCCAGCACCCACCUAGUGGCUCACAACCAUCCGAAACUCCAGUUCCAGGGGAUCCGACACUGUCACCUGACCUCGGAGGGUACCAAGCAUCCAUGUGGUACACAUUUAUGCAUGCAGGUGAAGC